GCGAGAAUAGGAAAGGAAAACGCGAGAGCGGUGGGUCUGAUGUCUCUGCGCAUACGCAGCGUCCGCCCUGGAGGAGGAAGGAGGCGUAGAUGCUAAAGCCUCGCGAGACCUGGAAGGGAAAACGCGACGUCAGAGGCGACACUGCUGAUGCUAUUGCCGAUUCCGGACAGCGCGCAUGCGCAGAAAACAGCAAGAGCGGGAUGGGGAAACGCUGGCGGCCUCGCUUAGGACUGCGCGCAUGCGCAAAACCAACCAACGUUUCGUCUGAGGAAGGACCCCUUCGCAUAGUUUACUCUUCAUCGAGGCUGUCUACCACGUUCGCAUGACUCGAAAAUUAUAUAUAUAUAUAUAUACAGUAUAUGAACCUAUUGGAAGCGGAGAGGUCCUUCAGGCGUUUAGCCUAGACAGCCUCAAAACCGGGUUAAAUUUUGCCUUUACAGCAGGAAGUUUUUCAAAGAAAGAAAAACGUUCCUUUUCCCGUUAUCCUCGUUACUUUCAGGGAAUAAAAGACUUUCCAAAUGAUGGAGAGAAAGGCAAAGAGCAGUUUAAAGGCGCCAAAGGGACUGAAACGCUGUGUUUCGAAAGAGGAGGUACUCCUUCCUCCUCGUCUCGACGGACAUCGCGUCCCGAGUGUGAAUCGUGGGACUGUUUACCGCGUCGGUUAUGCUUGGAACCGCGGCGGGAGACUGAAAGAACUGCG